rfam:Triticum aestivum genome assembly, contig: Triticum_aestivum_CS42_TGACv1_scaffold_097702_2AL
AAAGUACUCCCUCCAUCCCAAAAUUUUUGCCUUAGAUUUGUCUUGAUACGGAUGUAUCAAGUCACAUUUUAGUAUUAGAUACAUCCGUAUCUAGACAAAUCUAAGACAAGAAAUUUGGGACAGAGGGAGUAGCUG